rnacentral:lncRNA from 1 species
UUUCAUCGUAUAUGGGCAAGAAAGGAAAAUUGGUACAAAAAGUUGAUAACUUAAGAAAAUACGCGAAUCUCCCCGCAACCCAACGAAACCACAAUAUUAUUAAUACUUUAAUUUUUUAUUAUUAUUUACAGAGACAAUCGAACCCAAAAAAAGAACACUACUGGGGAGGCAACGGCAGUAGCACACCAGUUGGGCAUUUACAAGUCCUAUCAUCCACGCACUCACAUGGUGGUUUACACACUUGAGGAUCACAUAUCCCCCCUUCGUCAUUCGAUGGCGAAUCGUCUUUGGGGCACAAGCAGAUUCCAUGGAAGCAAUGACAUGGUGUAUGGCAGGUCUUUCUGCAUAUUGGCACCAAUUCGUUGACCUCUCUUCCUUCUGCUUUAAUGUUCGACAUCUCAUCUACAAUCGAAUCGUCCAAUUAUAUUUACCAAACAUUAUUUUGAACCAUGUUUGACAAUAAUACAUACCCAAAUGAAAAAAAAACUAUGUACCUGCAACGAAAAUCAAGAGCACAACCAAGAGAAUCGGUUUUAUUGACGUCUUAUCCAUCUCGGUUUAGAUGUCUCUUUGGUGAAGAAAGAUUGAGCUGGGAAGUUGAGAGCUUUUGCACUAAAAGUUGUAAGUGUUUGAGCUGUGUGGGUAGACGGUUUUGGUUUGGUCAAUUUAUAUACUGUGGAUUGGGAUGGUGGAAGUGGUAAUGGGAGACAUUUGUUUA